rnacentral:rRNA from 1 species
UACGUAGGGGGCAAGCGUUGUCCGGAAUCAUUGGGCGUAAAGAGCGUGUAGGCGGCCCGGUAAGUCCGCUGUGAAAGUCCAGGGCUCAACCCUGGGAUGCCGGUCGAUACUGCCGGACUAGAGUUCGGAAGAGGCGAGUGGAAUUCCCGGUGUAGCGGUGAAAUGCGCAGAUAUCGGGAGGAACACCAAUGGCGAAGGCAGCUCGCUGGGACGUUACUGAACGCUGAGACG